rfam:Glycine max cultivar Williams 82 chromosome 16, whole genome shotgun sequence.
CCCUAGAUGGCGAGUGUCCAGUACAAAUUGUGGGAGAGUUAUACAAGUGUCGUGCUGUUAAGCGAAACAGCAAAGCAUGUUGCACCUUUACUGGCAAGUGUCCAGUACGGAGUUGUGAAGAGUUAUACAAGUGUCGUGCUACUAGGUGAAGGAGCAGACAAUGUUGCACCCUAGAUGGUGAAAGUCUAGUACAGGGUUGUGGGAGAGUUAUGCAAGUGUCAUGCUACUAGGCGAAGCAGCAGAAAAUGUUGCACCCUAGAUGGCGAAAGUCUAGGAGCCAAAAGCAUCACUAGCUUAUGCUUUGACCUGAGUAGUAGGGACACGUGGAAUUCUGUGUGAAUUAGCAAGGAUCACCUUGCAAGACUAAAUACUCCUAGUCAACCGAUAGUGAAUUAGUACCAUGAGAGAAGGGUGAAAAAACCCCACAUCGGGAGUGAAAUAGAACAUGAAA